rnacentral:rRNA from 1 species
UAGGCGUAAAUAGAUGCGAGUUAAGUGUGGGGGCGAUCUACGAGAUGGCCCUGUGCUGUAGGGUAGCCGUUAAACUCGCUGCCUGGGGAGUACGGUCGCAAGGCUGAAACUUAAAGGAAUUGGCGGGGGGAGGCACCACAAGAGGUGGAGGCUGCGGUUCAAUUGGACUCAACGCCGGAAACUCAUCGGGAGCGACAGCAGUAUGAUUGCCAGGUUGAUGACCUUGCUUGACAAGCUGAGAGGAGGUGCAUGGCGUAGUCGUGU